CUCCCUGACAGCAGCAUCUCCGCUCUGUCGCUCUGUCAGUCUGUCAGCAGUGACUCUGAAUCGGUCAGCCUGGCUGCAUUCACAGUCUGCGCGCAAAGUGGAUACUCACCGAGAAAGAGUCGGACAGACUUCGACUCAAAAGUAACAACUUCGCAAACAACGUGGUGACGUAACUUGAUGGCGGUUUCCAGUUUCAGAAAUUGUUAUCAGCGAGUUUCAAAGGUGGGACACGGUCGGAGAAGAGGAAACAAGUGCGAGGACAUCAGACAUCAGACGUAACAAGAGGAUUUGUGGGCUGUUGACGUGACCAGCUUCUAACAAGUUUCGGGCCUCGGCUUCUCCUCGGAGAUGUAAUGAGUCUGGAGUUUUCUAUUCAGUCAGCCAUGGAGCACGAGCUGAGGAUGGGCCUCUCUAUCUGGGCCAUUAUCGCAAUUGUUUGUAACUCAGUGGUUGGCAUCCUCAUCCUCAUUCUGUUUGUCAUACUCUACAAGGCUUGCAAGGUGCCUUCACAUCCAGAGAAAAUUCCAGUUUUCACUGCAGAGCCAGAGCAGAAGAAGGCUGAACAAAAGUACCUGCUGACUACAGCAUGACUAUGGAUAUGUUGGCAGAAUGCAACCCUUUUUGAUACAGCAGAUGUCAAAAGCCUUGUUACAGAGUACAAGAAUACCUGCUGGACUAUCAACUUUGAAUGGUGAUCUGGAUUUAUCUUCUUCUUUAGCCACAGGUGACAUUAUUUCUACCCAGAAACUCCAUUGGCUCCUCAUCUCUGCCAUUUGUAGCACCUCAGAGUGAGCUAACUGCAUUAAGAGUUAUGGCAAGACCCACAACAACAACAACAAGUAGCAGGCUCAAUCCUCUUAUCUCUUCUGUGUGUCUAUGGGACUGCCCAUCUGUCAGUAUGUUUGUUUUGCAAUACACAGACGGACCAUGAUCUCCUCUUCUACUCCUCAAGUGCUUCUCCUCCUUCUUUGUGAGAAAACUAAGGGGAUGUGGGGGAGAAAAGGCAAGCUAGCCAUUGAUUGUAUAGGGAGGGUUUGUGGAGAUGGGGUAGGCUGAACGGCAGGUUAACCUGUCAGAGGUAAAAAUGAAAUGUAUCCCCCGUAGCGUACAAGCAGCUUCAGCACUAAUGAUGGCACUGACAGAGCUGCAAAACUGGCAACAGGUAGAAACAAAGAGCCUGGAAGAGGCAGGAAGAAGAAAAAGUACGAGAGUCAAGAAGAUAGACUCUUAAAGAGACAGAUGGACACAAGGGGCAGAUAUUUUGUUGGGUGAUUAAGUGAAGGUUUAAAAAACAGAGCAGAAACACUGUUUUUUUCCAGCAAGCCUGAGUCCUCUGACAGUGUCCCUAUUUCAUCCCAUGCCUCUGCUUGCCCUGGGAUUAAAGCAACAGUAAAAAUGUUACUGGUGUCCCUGCGUGCCUCUCUGCCAUUUGAAUGAGGCUGAAUGAGAUAUUUAUAGAAAGCCUUCACUAGAAGUGACUCAGUGAGUCUGUGUCUCACUGUGACGAGUCAGUCAUGAGUUAAUUGUAGAGAAUAUUCUGCAACUAACAUGCUAAAAAGGCAGCUAACAUGCUAACAAAAGACAUAAAUACUGUCUAACAGUUUUUUUUAUUUGAUUUCCUAUGCAGUACUUUCUGUUCAUAAUCAUUUAUGGAAUAUUUCUGUAAAACUUGAAUGUAAUAAUAAACUGUUACCUGCGCUGAAAUUACUUUACUAGUUUACUAGUAAACUAAAAGGUCAAAUAAAGUCAGUUAAAGACAG